GAACCCCUGCUGAUGGAGAG
rnacentral:piRNA from 1 species